ensembl:lincRNA
CAGCUAACAACUCGUUAACAACUUUGAACUUGUUCAGAGUUAGAAACAAUGACACACCCACAUGCUCUUUCAGCACCUUUCAAUAACCUGCCUAUUUCAACACUUAGUAGCUUCAGUUCAGAUUAUUAGCUUUUACCUUUUUUUUUACUUUUAGCAAGGUAAUUGGAAAGGUGAAAUUGAUAGAAAGUUAUACAAUUCAGUGGUAUUAAUAUUCCUGCAUUGACUCUAGGAGUCAUAGUCCGACUUGUUUUUCUCAUAGACAUUUGGUUAUAAAUCCAAAUGAAUGUCUUUUAAUCAGUCCUGGAAGAGAAAUAUCUCAUCACAACCUGUUAAGAGCUAUUUGUGAAAAUUGUAAUGAAACGUUUAAGGAAAAAGGAAGAGACGUACAAUACCAAGAUUCUCAUGAAAAUGUGUCUAGUCUAUUGAUGAACCCAAAUUCCAAGUUUGAGUUUUGAAACAAAAUUUCCAUGGCAUUUAAGCUAAUCUGCAAUGAAAGAAAGUGAAAGUGAAAGUCGCUCAGGACUGUCUGACUCUUGUGAACGCAUGGACUGUAGAGUUCAUGGAUUCUCCAGGCCAGAAUGCUGGAGUGGGUAGUCGUUCCCUUCUCCAGGGGAUCUACAGUCCAUGGAAUUCUGCAGACCAGAAUCCUAGAGUGCAUAGCCUUUUCAUUCUCCAGGGAAUCUUCCCAACCAGGGAUCGAACUGAGAUCUCCCACUUUGCAGCCUGAUUCUUUACCAGCUGAGCCACAAAGGAAGCCCAAGAAUAGAGAAGUGGGUAUCCAAUCCCUUCUCCCACACUUUGUGACCACAUGGACGAUACAGUCCAUGGAAUUCACCAGGCCAGAAUACUGGAGUGGGUAGCCUUUCCCUUCUCCAGGGGAUCUUCCCAACCAAGGGAUAGAACCCAGAUCUCCCACAUUGCAGGCAGAUUCUUUACCAGCUAAGCCACAGGGAAAGCCCGGAAAUGUUGCAGUGGGUAGUCUCACUCUUUCUCAUUCAUUCUCUCACUCUUUGUGACCACAUGGAGUACACGGUGCAUGGAAUUCUCCUGGCGAGAAUACCGGAGUGGCUAGCCAUUCCAUUCUCCAGAGGAUAUACAGAGGAUAUACAGUCCACACUUUGCGACCACAUGGACGAUACAGUCCAUGGACUUGUCCAGGCCAGAAUACUGGAGUGGGUAGCCAUUCCUUCUCUAGGCGUCUUCCCAACCCAGAUAUCCAUCCCAGAUCUCCCACAUUGCAAGCCAAUUCUUUACCAGCUGAGCCACAAGGGAAGCCCGAGAAUACUGGAGUGGGUAGUUUGUCCCUUCUCCCAAUCUAUGCGACCACAUAGGCCAGAGUACAGGAGUGAGUAGCCUUUCCCUUCUCCAGAGAUUCUUCCCAACCCCAGUAUCGAACCCAAAUCUCCCACAGUUCAGGCGGUUCUUUAGUUGCUGAGCCAUAAGGGAAGCCCAAGAAUACUGGAGUGGGUAGCUUAUCCCUCUCCAGUGGAUUUUUCCCCCACCCAGCAAUCGAACCAUGCUCUCCUGCAUUGCAGCCAGAUUCUUCACCAGUGGAGCUAUCAGGAAAACCCCUUACAUGAAUAGCUUUUUUUGCUCUACACCAAAUACAAAAUGCUCUCAUUUCCAAAUCCCUGAAAAACUCUUUGUAGUGACAUCAAAUAAAUAAGAGUCAUUUUAGUUUCUUUUACAGAAAAGAAAGUCAAAUUUAUUUAAUUAAAAACUAGAAUUAAAAAUUAGCAAAUGCAUAAACACACACUCAAAAAUACACACACAAGAGCACUAUGUAUUGACUCACAGAGGGGAAAUGCAGUGGUCCAAGACCACUCAAUAUGGCUUGUCAGUUAUAGGAGAAGAAAUCCAAGCAUGUGCGUGUGCGUGCACACACACACACACACACACACACACACCAGAUCAGGCACACAAAAAAGAACCCAGUAUUUUUCAACAGUACAUUCAAUUUACCAUAAACAAAACUUCAGAAUUAGUUUUCAAAGGUUCCUAUUUUAAUUCCAAAGAUGCCCAUCUCGGGUAUAAAUAUACCUAUAUUUUCUAGUGGUUUACUGUUGGCUUAUUUUAAAUCUAUUAGUGUUAUUACAUGCAACUAUUUCCUAUAUUUAACACCCUUUCAUCUUCUGUAGCUUAAUGUCUCUAGCUUCAACCUACCCAAAGUUUCUGGUUGGUAGGAAGACAGGUGUCUUAUUCUCUGUGAAACUGAAUGUAUUGGUUUUAAACACUCGUCAGAAAAUGUUUGAUCACCAUUUCAAGUCAUGGAAAUAGUUACAUUGAUGCUUAAAUCGCCGUUUUCUGCGAAAAGUUCCGCAACUCUGGGGUGGAAGACUAGGCAGUCACAGUUCAGAAACGCUGUUUCAAUUCGCUCAUGAAUAGAUAGAGGCGUGGCUUCCCACAUCAAUCGCCGCCUGGUACCAUUUAGCUCAAGUCGAUAAGUAAAAUGUUCAGCUUGCUCGCGUGUUCCUAUCAGCUGGACAGCGGCAAAGAAUUUCCGGUAACCGGCAUGGAUUUCCAGUUUCUCCAAAAUUAGUAAGAACUGAGACCCAAAACAGGACUGCACCAUCACCCAGUCAAGGGUACCAGCCAGAUUAAUGUUGACUGCAAGGAAAACGACAACUUCUCCCUCUAGGGUUAUAACGGAGUUGUUAUAGUGCUGCAUCACAUGUGGUACAACGGCAUCCAUGGCGCCUUGCCACUCACAGGAAGCGCCAGGGCAAGGGCAACGACAGGGCCUAAACUCACAUUGUUCUUCGUGGUCUACUUUUUCUGUGGG